GACGUAGGGCGCGAGCGUUGUCCGGAUUUAUUGGGCGUAAAGAGCUCGUAGGCGGCUUGUCGCGUCGUUCGUGAAAACCUGCAGCUCAACUGCAGGCUUGCGGUCGAUACGGGCAGGCUAGAGUUCGGUAGGGGAGACUGGAAUUCCUGGUGUAGCGGUGAAAUGCGCAGAUAUCAGGAGGAACACCAAUAGCGAAGGCAGCUCGCUGGGACGUUACUGACACUGAGGCGCGAAAGCGUGGGGAGCGAACAGG
rnacentral:rRNA from 1 species